CCAGUGCUGAUGUUACAUCUCCCAGCCGUGACAGGGCAAGGUCAGGUUGGCUAUCCAGAAAAGGUUCUUCUCCAGAGGGUGGUCAGGCACUGGCACAGGCUCCCCAGGGCAGUGGUCACAGCCUUAAGCUGCCACAGUUUAAGAAGCAUUUGGACAGCGCUCUCAUACAUACGGUCAAUUUUCUUGUGGUCCUGUGUGGAGACAGGAGCUGGACUUUAUAAUCCUUAUGAGUCCCUUCCAACUCAGGGUGUUUUGCAAUUCUGUGAUUCUACGAUCCAGCCAAUGCCAGAACCCCAGAAUGCAUUGUUGUCUGUUAUCACAAUGAAUGCCAUAAAGCUCUCGAAGGUGCACUGGCAGAACGGAAGGGGCCCUGUUCACCGGGGCUGCAUCAUGAGGUGGCAGCAUGCAGGCCUGUGCUCAGUGGGAGAGUGUGAGGAAGAAGACGUGAAUCAUUUGUAGCCAAAACUUUAUUCCCCGUCCUCAGCAGCACAUCCUGAGGUAGGCAGCUCUUUCUGACAGCAAAUUGUUAAAAAAAUUAAAACCAGCUUCCCGCAUUCUAUAUUGGAAUAAAAUUUCCUGCAAAUGAGAUGCUCUUUAAACAAACCAAGUUUAUCUAAGCCCUGUGCAAAAGCCAGGCACUGGCUUUCUCCUGUCUGUUAACAAUUAUAGGGAGGAAGAACAUGCACCUCUGCGCAUGCUCAGAGCAGCUCUGCCCUUCUCCGUGAUGUCUCUGUGGAGAUGGAAAAGCACCAAAAGAAGUGACCAACAGCUUCAGUGUCCAUUAUUCAGUAUUAUUGCAAUGAAUGACAUACAACCCCAAAAGAAGUUGUGAGUUGCUGGAGAGACAGACAGCUCAUGGAGGUCAUGGACAACGGGGACUUGGUGGCUCUGGCGAAGUGGACCAGAGGUGCGCAUGCAGCUGAGAGGUACCUAGGAGGAUGGGAUGUAAUCGUUCUUUCAUGCUCUUCCCCUGAAUUUCUGCCUUAUGCGAUCCUUUUCAUUACGGAUGGCCCCUUCGGGACUCUUGUGCUGCUGU
ensembl:lncRNA